AGAGUUUGAUUAUGGCUCAGAACGAACGCUGGCGGCACGCUUAACACAUGCAAGUCGGACGGGGUAUGGGAGCUUGCUCUUAUACUUAGUGGCGGACGGGUGAGUAACACGUGGGAACAUGUCCUGUAGUGGUGGAUAGCUCCGGGAAACUGGAGGUAAUACAGCAUAAGCUCGAGAGAGGAAAGAGAGAUCGCUAUAGGGGUGGCCCGCGGCUGAUUAGGUAGUUGGUGGGGUAAAGGCCUACCAAGCCGAGGAUCAGUAGCUGGUCUGAGAGGAUGGACAGCCACACUGAAACUGAGACACGGUUCAGACUCCUACGGGAGGCAGCAGUGGGGAAUAUUGGUCAAUGGGCGAGAGCCUGAACCAGCCAAAGUAGCGUGCAGGAUGACGGCCCUAUGGGUUGUAAACUGCUUUUAUACGGGGAUAAAGUGAGGGACGUGUCCCUUUUUGUAGGUACCGUAUGAAUAAGGACCGGCUAAUUCCGUGCCAGCCGCCGC
rnacentral:rRNA from 1 species